rnacentral:rRNA from 1 species
AUUGAACGCUGGCGGCAGGCCUAACACAUGCAAGUCGAACGGUAACAGGAAACAGCUUGCUGUUUCGCUGACGAGUGGCGGACGGGUGAGUAAUGUCUGGGAAACUGCCUGAUGGAGGGGGAUAACUACUGGAAACGGUAGCUAAUACCGCAUAACGUCGCAAGACCAAAGAGGGGGACCUUCGGGCCUCUUGCCAUCGGAUGUGCCCCGAUGGGAUUAGCUAGUAGGUGGGGUAACGGCUCACCUAGGCGACGAUCCCUAGCUGGUCUGAGAGGAUGACCAGCCACACUGGAACUGAGACACGGUCCAGACUCCUACGGGAGGCAGCAGUGGGGAAUAUUGCACAAUGGGCGCAAGCCUGAUGCAGCCAUGCCGCGUGUAUGAAGAAGGCCUUCGGGUUGUAAAGUACUUUCAGCGGGGAGGAAGGGAGUAAAGUUAAUACCUUUACUCAUUGACGUUACCCGCAGAAGAAGCACCGGCUAACUCCGUG